AAAAUAAACAUUCCCGCUUCUAUCUUGGCUCGCUGUCUCCCCUUUCCCGCUACUCAUUCCAGCCCUAAUCUUCCCACCAAAGAAAUCGACUAGCCGAUGAGUAGGCGACGACGAAGAUAGAGGCCAGAAGCUGCGUUCCAGACCGUGGUUUCAGGCGGCGCUUCAAACUGUGAAACUAUGAUUGGAAGAUCGGGAAGCUUUACAAAUAAGCCAAUUUGCAUCAUCUAGUCGAGACUUAUAAGGUUGAUGUUCAAGAAAUAAAGCAAUCAAGCUAGGAUGGAACUAGAAACCCAUUUUAGCAUAGUAUUUUAUUAUGUUUGAUUUAUGAUGUACUUGAAAACAAUGUAUUCCCAUUUGAUAUUUAUGAAAUGAAUUUAAUU